UACGUAGGGUCCGAGCGUUGUCCGGAAUUACUGGGCGUAAAGAGCUCGUAGGUGGUUUGUCGCGUUGUUCGUGAAAACUCACAGCUCAACUGUGGGCGUGCGGGCGAUACGGGCAGACUUGAGUACUGCAGGGGAGACUGGAAUUCCUGGUGUAGCGGUGGAAUGCGCAGAUAUCAGGAGGAACACCGGUGGCGAAGGCGGGUCUCUGGGCAGUAACUGACGGCUGAGGAGCGAAAGCCCAGGGGAGCAAACGGG
rnacentral:rRNA from 1 species